CAGUAGCCGCGGUAAUACGAAGGGUGCAAGCGUUACUCGGAAUUACUGGGCGUAAAGCGUGCGUAGGUGGUGGUUUAAGUCCGUCGUGAAAGCCCUGGGCUCAACCUGGGAAUUGCAGUGGAUACUGGGUCACUAGAGUGUGGUAGAGGAUAGUGGAAUUUCCGGUGCAGCAGUGAAAUGCGUAGAGAUCGGAAGGAACAUCUGUGGCGAAGGCGACUAUCUGGGCCAUUACUGACACUGAGGCACGAAAGCGUGGGGAGCAAACAGGAUUAGAUACCCCUGUAGUCCCUGUCUCUUAUAC
rnacentral:rRNA from 1 species